UAAAAUCCACAUCCAUGUGACUGUUUAUGCAAAUCCAGUAUUUUACUCCUGAGGUUUAAAAACCUGAGCAGACAGUCGGACGUUCAGCAUAAACAUUAAGCAUGUUUCCUCUCACUGUGCUGCUGCUGUUGGCAGCUGGAACCUGUGUGAAGUGUGAACAGCUGACACAGCCAGACUCUGUGACUGUGCAGCCAGGUCAGCGUCUGACCCUCACCUGUCAGGUCUCUUAUUCUGUGACCAGCUACUGGACAGCUUGGAUCAGACAACCUGCAGGGAAAGGACUGGAGUGGAUCGGGAUGAGAUGCACUGGAGGCUCUCGCUACAAAGAUUCACUGAAGAACAAAUUCACCAUUGAUGUUGAUGCUUCCAGCAACACAGUGACUCUAAACGGACAGAACCUGCAGCCUGACUCUGCUGUUUAUUACUGUGCCAGAGACACACAGUGACUUAAAGCAUCAGUGGAGCUGAACAAAAACCCUCCUGUGUCUGAACAACACAGAGCCACCAGAGGAGGAGCCCUCAGACAACAGAUGCCCUGAACUUCACCAAAAUGUCAACUGAAACUAUUCAC